rnacentral:rRNA from 1 species
UGGGGAAUAUUGGACAAUGGGGGGAACCCUGAUCCAGCCAUGCCGCGUGUGUGAAGAAGGCCUUAUGGUUGUAAAGCACUUUAAGCGAGGAGGAGGGUACUGGUAUUAAUACUACCAGCUACUGGACGUUACUCGCAGAAUAAGCACCGGCUAACUCUGUGCCAGCAGCCGCGGUAAUACAGAGGGUGCAAGCGUUAAUCGGAAUUACUGGGCGUAAAGCGCGCGUAGGUGGUUCGUUAAGUUGAAUGUGAAAGCCCCGGGCUCAACCUGGGAACUGCAUCCAAAACUGGCGAGCUAGAGUAGGGCAGAGGGUGGUGGAAUUUCCUGUGUAGCGGUGAAAUGCGUAGAUAUAGGGAGGAACACCAGUGGCGAAGGCGACCACCUGGGCUCAUACUGACACUGAGGUACGAAAGCGUGGGGAGCAAACAGG